UUUUACUUUUUACACUGUAAAUUCAGAAAUUAAUGUAUGCAUUUAUUAUUGAGAAUAAUGGAUGACUGUUAAAAAAAUGCAAGAUUUUAUUAAUACAAUUACAAACAUCCUGUGAGGGAAAAAUAAUAUUAAAAUGAUAAAAUUCAAGUUUUUAUUAUUGUCAAAUUUAUACUGUUACAAUUAUCUCAUAAGGCCAAAAAAAAAAUACAUAUGUUUCCACUAACCCUACCUACCCUAAUUUUUAGUGCCUACCCUAAAACUUUUUAUGCAAUUUUGGAUCACUUUUAAAGUCAGACUUAUUCCCUAGUAGUAACCAGCUAAAAAUGUUUGUAAAAUAAAAUGAUAUUGCCUUCCUACCUACCCUAUUUUUAUUCAGCACGUUAGUGGAAAAACAUGUAUUAUAUUUUGGCCUAAAUGAAAUCAAGAAAUAAUUUAUGAAUUUACAUUAAAUUGAACAUUGUCUCAUGUACAUUGUCAAUUAUAUCACUAUCUGCUAGGUAUUUAUCUCACUUUUCAGUGAUAAGUACAAGCCAUGUAUACAAUGAUUUUUCAUAUUCAUAUUUAAGCUACUCCAAAUGUUAUUCUUUUCAUCUUAAAACAGUUUUCUGUAGAACUUGUGCUGUAACCAAAAUGUAUACAGUGUUCUGUUAUUGGA
rnacentral:lncRNA from 1 species